rnacentral:pre_miRNA from 1 species
AUAAAUGUGGGAUGAUGGAAGUGUGGGAUAGUAGAAUCAUACCAUCCCACACUUCCACCAUUCCACAUUUAUA